AUACGGAGGAUCCGAGCGUUAUCCGGAUUUAUUGGGUUUAAAGGGUGCGCAGGCGGCCAUUUAAGUCAGCGGUUAAAUCGUGGGGCUCAACCCCAUUCUGCCGUUGAUGCUUGGUGGCUUGAUUGCGGUCGAGGUUGGCGGAAUUCGUUGUGUAGCGGUGAAAUGCAUAGAUAUGACGAAGAACACCGAUUGCGUAGGCAGCUGACCAGACCGCAAAUGACGCUCAUGCACGAAAGUGCGGGGAUCGAACAGGAUUAGAUACCCUGGUAGUCCGCACAGUAAACGAUGAAUACUUGUUUUCGGCGAUAUAAUGUCGGAGGCAAAGCGAAAGCGAUAAGUAUUCCACCUGGGGAGUACGCCGGCAACGGUGAAACUCAAAGGAAUUGGCGGGG
rnacentral:rRNA from 1 species